UGACCAACGUUUGCAUUUCCACAGCGGC
rnacentral:piRNA from 1 species